AAUCAACGCUGGCGGCGUGCCUAACACAUGCAAGUCGAACGAGAAAGUGGAGCAAUCCAUGAGUAAAGUGGCGCACGGGUGAGUAACACGUGACUAACCUACCCUUGAGUGGGGGAUAACCUAGGGAAACCUGGGCUAAUACCGCAUAAUACCUACGGGUCAAAGGAGCAAUUCGCUUUAGGAGGGGGUCGCGGCAGAUUAGUUAGUUGGCGGGGUAAGUGGCCCACCAAGACGAUGAUCGUAUCCGGCCUCGAGAGGGCGCACGGACGACA
rnacentral:rRNA from 1 species